UCUGCUUUUCGAAGCAGACUUUUUCGUUGACGAAAAAGAUCUCCAAACCUUUGUCGGCGCGACUUUCCAGUCGCGCUUUUUUUGU
rfam:Paraburkholderia susongensis strain LMG 29540 genome assembly, contig: Ga0139082_101